GAUCCGGUGGCCUAGUGGUUAGAGCUUCCGCUUAUGAUGCGGGAGGUCGUUAGUUAUAUCCCCAGUCGAGUCA